GACGAACGCUGGCGGCGUGCUUAACACAUGCAAGUCGAACGGAAAGGCCCUUCGGGGUACUCGAGUGGCGAACGGGUGAGUAACACGUGGGUGAUCUGCCCUGCACUUUGGGAUAAGCCUGGGAAACCGGGUCUAAUACCGAAUAGGACCACGCGCUUCAUGGUGUGUGGUGGAAAGCUUUUGCGGUGUGGGAUGGGCCCGCGGCCUAUCAGCUUGUUGGUGGGGUAAUGGCCUACCAAGGCGACGACGGGUAGCCGGCCUGAGAGGGUGACCGGCCACACUGGGACUGAGAUACGGCCCAGACUCCUACGGGAGGCAGCAGUGGGGAAUAUUGCACAAUGGGCGCAAGCCUGAUGCAGCGACGCCGCGUGAGGGAUGACGGCCUUCGGGUUGUAAACCUCUUUCGCCAGGGACGAAGCGCAAGUGACGGUACCUGGAGAAGAAGGACCGGCCAACUACGUGCCAGCCGCCGCCGUAACAC
rnacentral:rRNA from 1 species